rnacentral:tRNA from 2 species
CGGGAUAGCUCAGCCUGGUAAAGCAAAGGACUGAAAAUCCUCGUGUC